UACGAAGGGGGCUAGCGUUGCUCGGAUUUACUGGGCGUAAAGCGCACGUAGGCGGAUCGUUAAGUCAGGGGUGAAAUCCUGGAGCUCAACUCCAGAACUGCCUUUGAUACUGGCGAUCUUGAGUCCGGAAGAGGUGAGUGGAACUCCUAGUGUAGAGGUGGAAUUCGUAGAUAUUAGGAAGAACACCAGUGGCGAAGGCGGCUCACUGGUCCGGUACUGACGCUGAGGUGCGAAAGCGUGGGGAGCAAACAGG
rnacentral:rRNA from 1 species